rnacentral:lncRNA from 1 species
GGAGAAUUCUCACAACUCAGGAAUUAGUGGACAGUGCUCUGUCCAGUGCUAGACAGGACCAGUUUCAAGUGCCAAGAAAUGAAGGAAAAAAGAUGCCCAUCUUUUUCACCGAGCUCUUUGUUCAAGGCUCUACAAAAUGAGAUCCUUACGUGCACCCACUGGAAGGCCAAUGGGAAGAACCAGCUUGCCCGAGCAGAGUGGUGCUGGUUGAAGUCCUCCUCAUCGGCGUAGAUGUCAACGAGGCUCCGGAAAGAUGAUCUCGCAGCCAGAGAAGGGAAAAGGAAGAAAGACGCCACGGGAAUAUGGCGGCGGCGAUGGGCGAGUCCAGACUAGGCCCUCAGGUCCUCCAGUCCUAAUGAGGUAUAACACAUCCAGUACAAUAAAUCCAUUGAGCAGCCUGUCGAUGGAUGACCCUGUGGGCAAGAGUAGGAAGGCCACACUCCUGCUGGGAAGUCCUUUCUCGGGCUGGCCGGUGGAAAACUUUGUGAUCACCUUCAGAAAACUGACAAAUCUAUUACAGUAA